UCAGUAUUUAAUUUCAAAGUAAUAAAUCAAAUAUUUAUUUUACUGUCACUAUUAUUUAGUAGCCAUGACAACCAACAUAUACAUAAUUAAGUCUUUCUAAACAUAACCUCACUCUGUUUGUUUGGAUUGGAUUUUAAAAGAAAUAAAUUAUUGUAAUGAAGUAAUUCUUAUUUAACUAAUUCGAUUAUAUGAAUAACCUCAAUAAUUAAUUAGGUUAUGUUGUAGAACUUCUCUGGAAUUUGGAUAUUAUGAAUCGGAGUACUUAAUUCAAUUAAAUCUAUGUUGAAAUAGGCUUUUUUUGUCGAGUUACUUGGAGAUAAAAUUAACUUUCAUCAUUUUUAUUUACUUAUCAAAGCCUCUAAUUGGUGGAAAAUGUAUAGAGUUGAGCAAAAAUAUGUUCCAGUUCUUCUUUAUCUCAUGAAUCGUUCAUGAACGUGGUGUGGCCAUUGGAGCGAGGUAAAAGAUAUCAAAAUAGAAAGAAGGGAAGAAGAAAAUCGAAAAGAAAAGAGUACACUUAGUCUUGGUGUCUUUGGUGCUUCUGUUGGUUAUUUAUAAGAAGUGGAAUGGUUCUCUUAUGUUGUCAACGACGACUGGUUUUGCCCGUUUGUAGAAACUCAAAAACUCGGCAUCGACGCCGAGAGAAAGAAAAAUAAAACGAAGGUAAAACAGAAUCAGAUGUCAGAGAUUCCACACAUUUCGACGUGGAACCUCUAUUCACCAGAGUACCAGUCAAAGAUGCGGUGGAUGGUCUCAUCCCGGAGGGUUUUCCAAAGUAUGUCCCAGGACUAAUGGAGUACUGCCUAUCGUCGACAUAUUUUAGCUGGGAGGGAGAGUUCUACUAGCAAUGCGAAUCAUGGGAUCAUUUCUGUCAUCUGUGAUCACCAAUUUUUACAUGGAGAUGUUUGAAGAGUACUAUGGCCGUUACGUCAAUGACACCUUUGUGAUCUGGCACCAUGGAAAAAAGCAACUUCAGGAAUUUCUAGACCACCACAAUUCACAGUACUCCAUGAUAAAAUUUACCAUGGAAACAGAAACUGCAAAACCUUGUCAUUCCUGGAUGUGUUGGUCAUUAGGAAGACAGAUGGGGGCAUGGAACUGAAAAUAUAUCGUAAGAAGAUGCAUACGAUACAAUAGAAGAGGUUUGUGAUUCAAGCCUUAUUCCAUCGAGCAGAGAGAACCUGAGGAAAGAAGAAAGAUUCCUAGAAGAUGUACUGCGGAAGAACGGCUAUACCAUGAGGGAUAUCCAACGAGCCACCAAACCGUGCAAACAAAAGGAUGACUCGGUAAGUAUGACACCAGCCGGUUUUAUCUGCCUUCUUUAUAUUUCAGGUGUGGCGGAGCGAAUUACUAGGUGUCUGAAGAAGAAUUAUAUCGUGGUACGAUACGGUACUCUCUUCCGAUAGCCAAAGACAAAGUAACCUCAUUAAAGGGAGCUACGUAACAUCGAAUGACGCAACAAAGAACACGACAGGGAUGUGUGACUGAGUAAAAUUCAACAAUCUGCAGCCACAAAGGAGGACACAUCAUAGAGUUUGACAAAACCAAAGUACUAGCAAGAAACGGACAUUACUUAUUAAUAGAGAAGACGGUUGAGAACUCAGCAGCACUUGGACUUAACUAGUGAACUUAACGAAACCUUCUCCACCCGGAUUUGACAAAAACAAUUCCUUCGUACUUACAAGAAUAUUUAAUUAAGUUACGUUAAACUACUCCGAUUGAUAUUUAAUGAGAUGAAGAAAAGGUUCGUUUCUUAAUCGAGAAUUGGAGUCUCUUUAAGAAUAUAAUUUUUUGGGUUGGUAUAAAAAAGUGCAAAACUUGUGAGCGUUGAGUUAUGUAAUAAGGAAAAAUCGCAGUGUGCAAAUUAGAAAGAGACGACUACAUCGGUCAGCUGUUAAAUAAAAAUAACCUCGGGCUGUCGUCGUCGUUGUCGGGUGCCAUAUGCUGCUACUUGUUGAGUAGUUGUCUUAAAGGCCGUUUAUUAGGACCGUUCUAACAGUUGGCAACCUGUUAGAAAGGAUAUAAAAGUUUAACGACUAAAAAAAGGAGGAGAUGAAUUUUUUUUUUUUCCUAAAUAAAGUUGGAAAAUAAGAUUGAAGUUUCUGUAUUUGAUGUAUCGUUGAAAUCUCCAACAAAAUUAAGAAGAUGAAAAGCAAAAAUGAAAUCUUUUUUUUCGUUUCAAUUAAAAGGAACGAGAUAGUUGGCAAUGAAAUUCUUGUAUAGGCCAACAAUCACCAUUUUAAUAGAAGGUGGCAAUGACUUCGACGGGGGCCGUAGCCGCAACCGUAGCCGCCGUCACGGCCGUCCAUUUAGCGAAAGCGUACGCGCGCUGCCGGCCGUGCUGCCGCCGAAGUUAACCCCACCAUGUUCUCAACCGCGCCACCACUGGGAAAAAAGUAACAGCAGGAAAGAGAGAAGACGAAGACGACGACAACGACGUUACAUGGUUACGGCGAAGGUGUUUGACCGUUCAGGGUCGAACACUUUUUGUCGUAGUAUUGACCCGACUCUUCGAACUAUAAUAAAAGAAGAAUUCUUUAAACCCCAAUAAUUUUUUUUUUACAUUAAUACGAUUAAAAUUAUUUAAUCAAAAAAUGUUAAUAUGUAUUAAUGAUGGAAGAAAAUUCUUGGUUUAAUUUGACUGACAUUUAAAACUUGACAUAAAAAAGUUGUUCUCUUC